GAGCUGCAGAUCACAAGAAACAGAGAAAAAAGUGAGGUUAGAGGGAGCUUUGUUCAUGAUUCAGGAGAGGAGUCGUGUUGAUGAGAAGCGAGGCAGAUGGAUAGAGAGAGCUGGGCCUGCUGGCACUGCGACCGCUUCAGGGCAGUCCCGCCGCUAGCACACAGGCUGCGAACCGCCUCCGAUUCCUCCGGACAAGCCACCGAAAUCAUGCACUGGGCCAAGGCCCGAUUCAAGUGACGACAGGACACUUUGCGUCCGAGACCCGGCGAAACACGCCGGUGGCAUUCGCACAGCGCC
rnacentral:misc_RNA from 1 species